rnacentral:lncRNA from 1 species
GCAUGGUAUCUUACUGAGUAUUCCUUAUACUCAUAGUAUGUUAUGCUAAAUUUUCAGAUCCAUGAUCGUUGGAUUGAUGGAAGUUAGUUGGCAAAAUCGAUGAUGGAUUAAGGACAAAGAUGUUUUGUACCGAAAGUUUCCUCUUGUAUGUUUUGUUCGAUGACUGUUUUUCCAUCUGUUUUUCUUAUGGUAUUAUGUAAAAAUAUGUACAUGACAUGAU